AGUGAACGCUGGCGGUAGGCCUAACACAUGCAAGUCGAACGGCAGCACAGUAAGAGCUUGCUCUUACGGGUGGCGAGUGGCGCACGGGUGAGGAAUACAUCGGAAUCUACUUUUUCGUGGGGGAUAACGUAGGGAAACUUACGCUAAUACCGCAUACGACCUACGGGUGAAAGCAGGGGAUCUUCGGACCUUGCGCGAUUGAAUGAGCCGAUGUCGGAUUAGCUAGUUGGCGGGGUAAAGGCCCACCAAGGCGACGAUCCGUAGCUGGUCUGAGAGGAUGAUCAGCCACACUGGAACUGAGACACGGUCCAGACUCCUACGGGAGGCAGCAGUGGGGAAUAUUGGGCAAUGGGCGCAAGCCUGAUCCAGCCAUACCGCGUGGGUGAAGAAGGCCUUCGGGUUGUAAAGCCCUUUUGUUGGGAAAGAAAAGCAGCAGGUUAAUACCCCGCUGUUCUGACGGUACCCAAAGAAUAAGCACCGGCUAACUUCGUG
rnacentral:rRNA from 1 species